rnacentral:misc_RNA from 1 species
CGAAUGAACCGUAGUGAACGAUCAAACGACACUUAAUAAAGAUGUAAACUGACUGCCUCAGCGACAUCUUUCGAACAUUUUUCUAUUUAUUGAAUGGCGCGCCUAAUAAAACCGAUAUAUCUCUAUAAACGAUAGACACUCGUUUCAUCCUGAACAAUUAUAGGGUUGAAUAUACAUAAAAGUCUUGUGUAUUAGUUAGACAUAAAAUAACAUCCGAAAUCUUAAUGCUAGUAACAAGUGAAUUCACAUGUUGACUACAAUCUAACAAAAUAAGAAAUGUAAACAUAGUACAAAUGCACAGGAUGUAUGAUGAAUGGAUGUACAAUAAAUAGCAAAAAUC